CUUGUGUGGAAAUACUGACUAUUUACUUGUGGGUUUCCUCUGCAGUAUGAUGCAUUUGAGAUGGGUAUUAAACAACUGAUGAAUUUACUAAUGCGGAUAUAUUGGAGGCAACUUAUCCUGCUGUUGCAAAGAGAUUAAGUGGUGAUUGGAUGAAUAAUCCUGCAAUCCCUAUUGUCACUGGGUUUCUGGGAAAGGUGCUUUUUGUAAUUUCUUCAUGCAUUUGUUGUUGGCUUGUGCAGGAUUGUGUGAUCCUUUGUAAUAUCUUUUCAGCAGGGGGAGCUAAUUAGCUAAGUUGAUUGGCUCUCUCUGCUUUUUUUGAAAAACCUGAAUCACUUCCUUUGUCGAAAGAACCUUAUUGUCAUCUACAUCCUCAUUUUUUGACGUUCCUUAGCUGAUUUGCUAUGGCAUCCUUGUCACAUUUUUGUGGGGUUAAAACUCCCUGCCCUUCUCUAUUCAAAAGAAGCGUGCACUUGCGGCAGCUUGAUUUUGUGGCUUCUGUCCCUUUUGCUUCUGUACCAAGUAAGUAUGCGAAGUCUUCUUGUUAUGAGAGUGUGAUGUGUAAAGCACAAGCAGCUGAUGUAGUCCAGCUUAAAGAAACCAAGAAUGAAGCUUUUGGUGAAUUUACAUGCGUGAUGAAGUUUGGUGGUUCAUCAGUAGCCUCAGCUGAGAGAAUGAGAGAAGUAGCUGAUCUUAUUCUUAGCUUUCCUGAAGAGAGACCUGUUAUUGCUGGCUGGGGAAAAGGCUGUCACUUGUGGGGUUUCCAAUGUUUGUGAUCUGCAAGAAUUGGAUUUUAUAAAGGAUCUCCAUUUUAGGACAAUCGACGAACUUGGAGUAGAAAAGUCUACCAUUGAGUGAUUUCUUGGAGCUCUGUGAUCAUUUUUGUUCUGUUCCUCUUUGAAAAAUUAGAGUAGGGGAACACUUGAUUUUCCGAGGUUCUAGCAAAUUGUUUUUUUGUCCCUAUACAUCUCAGGGUGCAAAAAUUUUCUGAAGUUUAUUAUUGAGCCCUCUAUCACCUGCAUUAUCAAAAAUUGCUGCAAUUCUAGAUUUAGUAAAAGUGUGUCUAAUGUACGAUUGCCCUGUAUCACAGAAAUUUGUUAAAGCUUGCAUAGUGAUAUUCUUUUGGACUAAAUUAAAUUGAACUCUUAUAUCCCCCUUCCCCUCCCUCAGAAUUGUUUUACAAGCUUUCUUGUCUUGAUCCAUUGUUUUACUCUUAUGAAACUUUUAAUGAGAAAUAUAUACUACAACUCAUAAAUGAAUGUUUUCAGCAGCAGAUUUUAUGACCUUUUAGUGCUCUGUGAGUAUUUUGUUGUUUUCAUCCAUGGGUUCUUCUAUCUGUUGCUGUUAUGACACCAGAUUAUCUCAGAAGUAAAAUCUGAGUCUUUCUGAUUAUGCUCUAUCAUUUUUCGGGAAAAUUUGCAGAGCAUCUACUUGAAUUAGAACAACUUUUGAACAGAAUUGCUAUGAUGAAGGAGUUGACUCCACGAACAAGGGAUUACUUGGUAUCCUUUGGAGAGUGCAUGUCCACAAGAAUAUUUACAGCCUACCUGAAUAAACUCGGUGUCAAAGCCCGCCAGGUACAACUCCAUUUUAUUCCUUCUCUGAACUGCCUACUGCAGCAAGGAAGAUACUUGAUUUGAACAAGAUACACACUCCUAACCUAAGGAUUAGGACAGCCAAAAAAAGAGCUCCAGAUUGAUGAAGUGGCAAGCUGAUUUAGGGUUUGGUUUGGGCUGUAUGUGUACAGUAUUGGUAUCUUAUUCAUUGAUGGGCUUCUAUAUGGUGCACAAUGUAUAGGAAAGUUAUCAAUGCGUGAGAGUGUUACGACCAUCAUACUACAGCUACUAAUUGAACCAACUAAAAGAGAUAAGGAGAUUGGAAUAUGCUUGAUUCUGCCUACUCUCUUGCCUUGCCUAGCGUUUAUAGACUAUCAUCUUUGUAUAUUUUUGGCAGUCUCAUACAGAUGUAUGCAACACAUGCUUGAUCAAAUGAUGAUGUUGUUGCUCCUUUAUAUAUAACACCCUUCGUAGGAACACAGCAACACGAUAGCAUGACUCUCUACUACAUUGGACUGCAACUUAAACUACUACAUAUGGUCACAAUAUGUUACUGUUUCCACCGGAAAGUUUUCAUUGGGGAUUGAUUUGGUUGUUGCAGAUUCACAUCUGACAUGCUUGGAUUGGAAACAUUAGUGCUUGGUGAGAGAUUUCGAGGUGCUAGUACUUGGUUUCUGCCCUUGGCCUGUGGAUACAUAGACAUCAUGGUCCUUAUUUACACAUUGCUCUAGCUUUUCUCAUUAUGUUAGCUUAGAAGAUCAUGUAUUCUAAGUUAGCUUAUCAUCUUGUAUUUACACAUUG